GACGAACGCUGGCGGCGUGCUUAACACAUGCAAGUCGAACGGAAAGGCCCUGCUUGUGUGGGGUGCUCGAGUGGCGAACGGGUGAGUAACACGGGAGUAACCUGCCCUUGACUUUGGGAUAACUUCAGGAAACUGGGGCUAAUACCGGAUAGGAGCUCCUGCUGCAUGGUGGGGGUUGGAAAGUUUCGGCGGUUGGGGAUGGACUGGCGGCUGAUCAGCUUGUUGGUGGGGUAGGGGCUUACCAAGGCUUUGGCGGGUAGCCGGCCUGAGAGGGUGACCGGCCACAUUGGGACUGAGAUACGGCCCAGCCUCCUACGGGAGGCAGAAGUGGGGAAUAUUGCACAAUGGGCGGAAGCCUGAUGCAGAAACGCCGCGUGCGGGAUGACGGCCUUCGGGUUGUAAACCGCUUUCGCCUGUGACGAAGCGUGAGUGACGGUAAUGGGUAAAGAAGCACCGGCUAACUACGUG
rnacentral:rRNA from 1 species